rnacentral:rRNA from 1 species
AUUGAACGCUGGCGGCAGGCCUAACACAUGCAAGUCGAGCGAGCGGCGGACGGGUGAGUAAUGUCUGGGAACCUGCCUGUUGGCGGGGGAUAACUACUGGAAACGGUAGCUAAUACCGCAUACCAUCAGAUGUGCCCAGGUGGGAUUAGCUAGUAGGUGGGGUAACGGCUCACCUAGGCGACGAUCCCUAGCUGGUCUGAGAGGAUGAUCAGCCACACUGGAACUGAGACACGGUCCAGACUCCUACGGGAGGCAGCAGUGGGGAAUAUUGCACAAUGGGCGAAAGCCUGACGCAGCCAUGCCGCGUGUGUGAAGAAGGCUUUCGGGUUGUAAAGCACUUUCAGCGGGGAGGCGUUACCCGCAGAAGAAGCACCGGCUAACUCCGUGCCAGCAGCCGCGGUAAUUC